rnacentral:rRNA from 1 species
AUGGCGUCCGCGGCGCCGCGCUACGCGCCGCCAGAUCCGACGCUGCCCAAGCCCUGGAGGGGCCUCAUCGACGGCACCACCGGCUACCUCUACUUCUGGAACCCGGAGACCAAGGCCGUCACCUACGACCGCCCCACCGGCCCCCCUCCCCCCGUCGCCCCCGCUCCGGCGCCGGCCCCGGCCCCGGCCCCGGCCCCCGCUCCCGUCCAGCAGCCCCAGUACCACCACGACGAGAGGGCCAGGCCCAGAGACCAGCCCGAGCGGCACACUGAAUCCGGAAACCGCGUGCAGAAUGCGCCCUUUGCUGAUCACAAGGCCAGGAACGAUCCUUCUUUUGAGCAGCGCUUUUCAGCUGGAGCAAACCCUGCACCUGUGCCUUCUACUAACCCAGCUCCACAGGCUGACAAUGGAAACAUGUCGGUAGAUGCAUACCGUAAAAAGCAUGAGAUUACUAUUAUUUGCCCGGGACGUGAAGCUCCAUCGCCAUUCAUGUCGUUUCAGUCCACAGGCUUCCCUUCGGAGAUUCUAAGGGAGGUGCAGCAAGCAGGAUUCAAAGCACCAAGUCCUAUCCAAGCUCAAUCGUGGCCGAUUGCUCUAAAAGGUAGUGAUAUUGUAGCUGUGGCGAAGACAGGUUCUGGAAAAACCCUGGGUUAUCUACUUCCAGGGUUUAUACUUGUUAAGAACCUACGGCACAAUUCAAGGGAUGGGCCAACUGUGUUAGUUCUGUCUCCAACCAGGGAAUUGGCAACACAGAUUCAAGAUGAAGCAAUCAAGUUUGGUAGAUCAUCAAGAAUUUCAUCUACUUGUCUAUAUGGCGGUGCUCCAAAAGGCCCUCAGCUAAGAGAUUUAGAGCGUGGUGCUGACAUUGUUGUCGCAACUCCUGGUAGACUGAAUGAUAUACUAGAAAUGGGAAAAGUCAGUCUCCGUCAGGUAGCUUAUCUCGUUCUUGAUGAAGCUGACCGCAUGCUUGAUAUGGGGUUUGAGCCACAAAUAAGAAAAAUUGUGAAACAAGUGCAACCGAAACGGCAAACUCUUAUGUUCACUGCCACUUGGCCAAGAGAGGUGAGGAAAAUAGCUUCCGAUUUGCUCACUAACCCUGUCCAGGUUAACAUUGGGAACACUGAUGAGCUGGUUGCAAAUAAGUCAAUCACCCAGCAUGUGGAAGUUACCACAUCUUUCGAGAAAGGGAGGCGCCUUGAUCAGAUCUUGAGACAACAGGAGCCUGGAUCUAAGGUGAUUAUAUUUUGCUCCACGAAGAGGAUGUGUGAUCAGCUGUCUCGGAACCUAUCACGGCAGUAUGGUGCUUCUGCUAUUCAUGGUGAUAAAUCACAGGCUGAGAGGGACUCUGUGCUGAGUGAAUUUAGGACCGGCAGGUGCCCAAUUCUUGUAGCCACUGAUGUGGCUGCUCGAGGCUUAGACGUGAAGGACAUCAGGGUUGUUGUUAACUAUGAUUUCCCAACGGGUGUUGAGGACUAUGUCCAUAGAAUUGGGAGGACAGGCCGGGCUGGUGCGACUGGAAUUGCAUACACAUUCUUCUGUGACCAGGAUUCUAAGUAUGCUUCAGAUCUUGUGAAGAUUUUGGAGGGUGCGAACCAAAAUGUUUCGCCAGAGUUACGAGCUAUGGUCGGCCGUGGAGGGUAUGGUGGCAGGGGGCCACGGCGGUGGGCAUCUUCUAAUGAUUCCUAUGGUGGCCAGGGAGCUUAUGGCAGCCAGACUAGGGAUGGUCCAAGCUUUCAGUCGAGCUAUAAUAACAGCAGCAGUGGCAAUCAAUAUGGUGGCGCUCCAAGCUUCCAUUCCAGCAGUAGCAACAAUCAGACCAGUGGCGCUGCAAGUUUACCUGCCAGUGGCGGCUCUGGUGAAGGUCUCAGCUUUCAUGAUAGGUUCUAUAGCGGCAAUUCCCGUGGUGGUGACCGUGCUAGGAGCAGGAGCCCUCCCAAGGCCGUGGGGGUCUCCAACUGGUAA